AACUGCGAGUGAAGCGGGAAAAGCUCAAAUUUAAAAUCUAAUGGYCUUUUUGGCCAUUCGAGUUGUAAUUUAGAGAAGCGUCUUCCGCGCCAGACCAUGUACAAGUCUCCUGGAACGGAGCGUCGUAGAGGGUGAGAAUCCCGUCUUUGACAUGGACACUCGGUGCUUCUGUGAUGCGCUCUCAAAGAGUCGAGUUGUUUGGGAAUGCAGCUCAAAAUGGGUGGUGAACUCCAUCUAAGGCUAAAUAUUGGCGAGAGACCGAUAGCGAACAAGUACCGUGAGGGAAAGAUGAAAAGCACUUUGGAAAGAGAGUGAAACAGUACGUGAAAUUGUUGAAAGGGAAACACUUGAAGUCAGUCGCGUCGAUCAAGACUCAGCCUUGCCUCGUGCUUGGYGUACUUCUUGACUUGACGGGCCAGCAUCAAUUUCGUCCCUCGGAUAAUGGCGGGUGAAAUGUGGCACCUUUGCGGGUGUGUUAUAGUCUCUUGUCGCAUGCGAGGGGUGGGAUUGAGGAACUCAGCACGCGUCUCACGGCGUCGGGGCUUCGGCCC
rnacentral:rRNA from 1 species